rnacentral:miRNA from 1 species
UAUCACAGUCAUUGGAUGGGUG